CUGACUUUAUUUCUUUUUAGAUGCUUUUUAUCUCAUUGUCCUAUAUACCAAUUAAUGUGGCUGGACAACUCUUCCGUUUUCCUUGCAAGUGGAAAAGCAGAUGCAUACACUACAUUUUCAAAGAUGGGUAUAGGAUUUACUCACAAGACUUCCUCUGACUUAAAGAUUUGGAAAAGUUUCCCCUUUGUAAAUGCGGAGGUUAGAUUGUAGAUUAGAUGUAAAUCUGAUUCUUGUAAUGUUUUAUUUACCUUUUGUAGCAAAUGCUUUUUGGAUUGAAUGCAUCAGGCACUUGAGGACAAUGCACUCUUUCAAAUACCGCUUCAAAAAAAGUUGUAUGGAGUUCUUCCCCUGUGUUGUGUUGGCGGUCUAGUAGGACGAUAGCACUGCGACUGAAAAGUGGAAAGGGCAAACAGAGACAAGUUCUAUAGCAACCCAUGGCCUGAAUCUGAUCAUAUCCUCUUCCUUAGAAUGAUACCACUCCUGAUCUCCGAAUGAUUCCUGCUUCAACAGAAUUAGGCUCCAGAGUAAGUGUGGCAAACCAAACCAUAGAAAGCAGCUUAUGACCUAAAGCUGAGCUUGCUCCUCUUUGAGCAUUAAUGGGGUGGGGUUUUUUUUCCUCCUAGCAAGCUGUGUUAAUUGGCCACGAAAAGAAAGCAAACAACUGUUCUUUCAUCACAACAGUGCUUUGAUGUUUGUGUUUUACCCUGACCUAAUCUCAGUAAUAGGAAGAAACAGAAGUUGGGAACUGAAAUGGUGUCUCAUAACAAAUUUCAUUAAAUCAUUGAAUAUUUUUUUAUUUCUUCACUGCAAAAUCAGACCUUGAAUUUUCAAUAUUCUUACAGGCCUGCCUUUGGCCCGUAGGAGUGCAUGAGUAGGAAGGGAGUCCUCAGCAGGGCAUGCAAUUGUUUGCACUGUGCGGUUUAGACAUGACCUGCAAAGAAUACACAAGAAAUUGUCACUGAUAUCUCUUUUCACCUUCUGUUUUAUAGGUCUCAAAAGCUGAACAGCUUUAAAUUCACAUGCUAAAGCAGAACCUAUUCUUCCUGACUCUGUACCCCACACUCAGCUAUCAACCUUGCCUGUGACACUGUAAAGCAGAUAUUGCUGUGAAAGAGCCUGACUGAUGAAACAGAUAAUUCCUGUUCACCUCCUUGAGCAUCAAGUGGUGUCAACUGGAGUGACUGGCGAAGCUCCUCUCUCUCCCUUGUCCUCCAGGAUCAGGAACAGUCAUUGCCUUUCUGGCAGGCUGAAGCAGCGAGAUGCAGACCUACAGGCACCUCGCUAGGGAUUUGUUAGAAGGAAACCUAGGCAAUGAAGAAAGUAAGGAAAUCUCACCAGGAGCAACACCCACACACAAGUACCAAAUGCCUACAUGCACCUGAGUUCAAUUUAUGCAAAGAAGCUGAAUUUAAAAUGCACUGCAGAACAAAAUAGGGCCAGCUGGAGGAUUUCCUGUAAGAGAAGGGAAAAGCCUGGGGAGGCAGCAGGCAGAAACAUUGAGCUGUGACACAUUCCUCUUGGCUGAUUAUGAACCUUUCUGCACCGAGAUUUGAAGCAGCCAGAUUCCAGUUUAGAUCAAAGUCCCUAGGAUUCACCUGUGAUUUCCAAUCUGCUGUUUUCUGGUUGGAGUGCUCUUUAUAGUCUGCAUUAUAAGAAGACCCAUACGUGAAGAAAGGAAGAAAGAAGUAAAUGCAAAACAAACUACAGGCAUGGCCAUUAAUUCUUCUGAGUAAAGAAUGGCUUGUCUUCUUCAAGCAUCUAGACCUGGUGCAGAAUAUGUGAGAAUUUCAUGCUUACUCAAAAAAGAUCUCUGUGUGCAUGUUGUGAAAUCCUUCAUUGCAAACACAAGAGCAAGAUAAAUGGAGUUGGAGUGGAUCUUCACUUGCAUCAAGAAAUAAAAGCAGACAAGAAGGGAAGAGAGUAUGCUUUUCACCCAGCCUCACUGGAGGAAGGAAACUGAAUUAAAGAAAAUCCGGAAUAAGAGAUUGUUUCAACUGCAAAUGAGUGUUUGGCGGCCACACCAUCAUCAAGCUGUAGCAACCCAUGCUGAGACAGACUGUUCCACCCAAGCCGAGCCCCAGCUGGGAGCACACAGCCCUUCUGCAAGAUCAGCUCAGACAAGUGGCGCUUCACCACUGUUCACUCGUGCAGAAGGUAGUGCAACAAAACUGACUCUCCCAUGUGCCUCCCCUGCUUUGUCCGAUCCUGGGACAUCCUCUGCGCACCAGUAGCAGGUACCUCUCUCUGGCACAUUCUGGAUGGAAGCUCUCUCUGCACAUCAGAAUUAAUAUAAUCAAUUAUAUUAAUUAAUAGGAUUACUCAGAGAUUGCAACCUUCUCAUAUAGUGUAAGUGAUCACCAUCAAGGAGACUAUGCCUAAAUGCCCCUGUGCUAAAUGCUAUUGAAGGUAUCCUUUGAGCACACUAGGAACCUCAGCACCCUUCCCUCAACUACGUAUGCUGAAGGCAACUAGAGUUAGGCAAGCUAAAGUCACGUAAAUUCUACCUUUUACAUCCAGUUUAUGCUGCCCGAGCACCCAGUUCUACAGGAGAAGACAAGGAUGUAUAGUUAGAGGUUGAUACCAGCUUUUCACUGUUCUAGAUUGCGAUAGCAAUUAUUAUGUGUGGAUGGCUCGUGCCUCCCAUGCAUUGCUCAGAGGUGGAUCCUCUUCAGAACCUAUUCCCUGCCCAAACAGAACAAAGGCUGUAUCAUCUUCGUCAGGGGUAACCUCUGUUCAACUGGGGUGCCACAGAUUUGCCUCUGGGGCCAACCUGAGCUGCAGUAGAGCAGGGAGAAGGCUGGUUUCAGGUAAGACUGAACAUUCAGUUUGCACACUCAUGAAGUUGUUGCCUGCAGACCUCCACGAGGAAGUCACACCAGGAGUGAAUGCGUUCCAAAGGGCAUUCACACGGCACAUUCACAGUGGGGCUCACAUGGCUGCACGGAGGCAGCUAGGGGGGCAGGUAGCUGGUGUCUUGGAUGUUCCAGAGGAUCUUCCCACAGCUCACCUGCAUUCAGGUGGCAGUCUCUAGAGACUCCACUGCCCAUCACACUUUUUCCUCUGAGGUGUCCUCUGCAGUAACUAAUGCAGUAGCCAAGUUUUCUCUUCUUGGUUCUUUCUCAUGGGCCUGCCCAGGGAAUGAGGGACUCUGAGCCACCUUUGGGCCACCUCAUGUCAGGGUCAGCCUACCCAAGGAGCUUGCUUUUACUCUUGAUGCAAUGGCAGCAUCUUGUAAGACCGCUUGCACUUAAUUUCUGCACUGCAUGACACAGUGUAAGGGCUAAGUGUAAUGUUGAAUUACAAAGUGGUGUGGAUAAAAGCAUCUGCCAGCCUCUGCACAUAUAUGAGGUCAGUGGGUUUACAUUCCUUCAGGUCAGAAAACAGAACAAGCGUGAUCUCAUCACCGUGCCAGUUUCUCCACAUUACAAAGUCACCGCAAGAUGUGACGACACAUUGUUCGUGCUCUGGGAGGAUGGAACUGAGGGCUUGUCUGCACUGCUUGGAAGAACAAACUGGAAAGAAGAAACAUGCAGAAGCAAUCUCCAGGUAAGAAAGUAGCAGAGAACAAGCACACUGGUCCUCCCACAGCAUGAAACAGCUGAGCUCACAGUAUAUAUCUCCAAAAAACCAUAUAUGCCUGGUCUUUACUAUAUUUUUACCAUAGUCAUUCAUAGUCCUUAGUAAAACCAUACCGUAUUUGUGAAGGACUACAAGAUCUUAGCGGCCACAUUUGCUUGGUGUUUGCCCAAAUACCAAGUCUACCACUUUAAAGUGAUCUAUAUGAUCUAGUGUCCAGCCCUAAUGAUCAGUAAGAGAGAGGAAAGCAGGAUAGAGGGAGGCAGCUAUGUGAAACCUCCACAGAGGAAUCCUACUUUUCCACUCCUCAUUUGUUAUCCUAUGUGGUAAUGUAUUAAUUCUUUAACUAAACUCUUUUGAUUAUUUUUAUACCCCUUACUGAUGUCACUCUGAAUAUUACUGUUAUACUUAUAAAUAUACAAUCCCCUUUCCGAAGAAAUUUGAGCCAUCCAGCUAACAUGCCCUAUGACUUUGAAAUCAGUACAGUAAAUUCAUCAACAGGAUUCAAAAUAAAAUUAAGCUUUGGAUGAAAGCUAUACUACAUAUGCCUAAAGCUUAUAGAUUUGUUCGGGUCCAAGGUAACAGCUAAGUACAUGUCCCCAAAAUGAGUAUCAUUCUGAUAUGUUUCCUAUGUUUCUUAGACAGAACUAGACAAUUUUAGAGGCAUACAUACGUGUGUGAAACAAAGUUGUGGUUAUAAAGGCAUGUCCCGGGUUAAGGAAACAUUGUUUCAUGCAGAGGUUUACAUUAAGGGUGGGAAUUGCUCUGAACUGGUAUGGGUAAAGCAUUUUAAAUUUUGUAAAUUUUUUAAACUUUAAGUUUAAAUUUUAAAUAAGGCCUUUGAAUUUUAUUCACUUUGGCAAUAUCCAACAGACCAGACUCCAUCUUGCACACCUUUGCUCUCUGUAAGUGAGCUUGCUGCCACGUAAUCUGUCUAGAGUGGAAAAAGCCCCGCACCUACCUCUGAGUCUGGCCAGGGUAUAUCCAGCUCUGACGGGCAGCAGACUGGCAAGCUGGUGCUGGCACAGAGCUUGUCCCUGGCAGCAGAUUCUGCUCUGUGUGCCUGUAUGGACAGCCACACUGUAACAGAUGAUGGAGAAUUUUUUCUGCUUGCAAGCACCCUGUAAGGCCACCAUACACACGGGUCUGUCGAGGACAAGGGUAGGCAACAGACGAGAGGGGCUGUAACACUGGCACUGUCAGGACUGAGUUGUCCUGUUCACUGGAAUAAAAAGCCACAGGGCUGAUAUCUUAACGGCCUGGAUGGUCUUAUCCUAGAAACAGGAAUGCAUCCAUUCUCCUCCAAUUUAAUACAAAAACAUUGGUCUCUCCUUAAGCACACCACGCACAGAAGUUGAAGUUAAUGUUAGUGAAUGGUGAACAUACCUCUGACACCCAUUUGGAUCCUGUUUCAUUGGAAAAGGAUUGUCUUCAUAGAGACUACCACUGAUUAUAUGUUCCGGACCUAUUAUUCAUGCUCAAAUACAAAGUUUCCUUCUUCUUUUUUUUUCAAAUGCUAUGAAACUUCAAUGUAUUUGCUACCUUUGGGCCCAGCCCUGUAAAUCUUGCUCCUAUGAAUAAGCCCUAUUCAUGAACAUUCUCGUGUGAUGGAAAAAGCUUUUCUGGAAUAAUUUUUUGCAAGUACUAGUGAAAAGCUAAGCUAGAUAGUACCUAGAUAAGUGAUGAACACAUGAUAAUCAGUUUUUUGUAUUUAUGGCCAGACCCUAACACCCACAAAAUUACCAUACAUAUUGAGUAACAAAAACAUGAAGUCAAUUCUGAAGACCUACUUCAAUAAUGCUGUUAUUCUUUUCAAUGCAUAAAACUUCAGUAGGGCUCUGGGAAUUAGCAACAUAAAAAUAAUGAUGAUGGUGAUGAAUUUAAAAUGCUUUCCAAACAAGACAUUGAGGAAGUCUUUAGAGAAGCCUUAUAGUGAACUUGAUAAAUCUUUUCACAGUUUUUAAUUCUGAGUAUUAGUUAUUUCAUCAUCUACAUUGCUUACUUAGUGACCGCUACAGGCUAUUGAAUAAACUGUCAUGGCAAUAUACAGCUUUUGCCAUAGGCCAGGAUCACAAAACUACAUGUGGAUCAUUUGUCAUCCUGAAUUUGCGCAUGCUGUUGUUAUUUUAUAACUGCAGAUCUCAAUAUGAUUAAUGCUGGAUAUUCAUCAACUUUGUUUCGAAAAUGGAGUAACUGUGAUGUAAUGAGGUGAAGAAAUUCACUUGAUAUCAUUGAAUGAGUUAUCAUCCAUACAAGGAUUAGAACACAUUUCCUUAUUCUGCGUGCCAUUUGUAAUCCACUGCACAAGGAUGCCAAAUCCACUUCUUAUUGCCAUUCACCAUGUUUCAACAGACUAGGGCAUCAAAGGACUAGGUGUUAAAUCUUCCCUUUUCACGUUUUUGGGGUUUGUUUGGAUUUUUUUUCUCCCCCUCAGAAACUCUGUUACGACAAAAAAGGGGACUUUAGCAGCUGAAAACGCCCACGAUGUGCACAGUUUCACCGUAUAGUUCCUCUCACAGGUCUACCUCUCCAUUCCCUCACUCCAUCCUCCUGAAGAACCAUGAGACCAACCCAGCAUUAAGGCCUGCGGUGACACUGCUGUGACAGGUUUUUGCAGUUCUUGACCCUCACAGGAGUGUAGCAGACAGCCAACACAGCUGCAAUACAAGGCAUUUCUCUGGCUACAGACCUAUGAGGAGCCAUAGACUCCAGUUUGUUCUAUGUGAUUUUACCAUCGCCACUGUUGCUCUUGCCACCACCACAGCCCCCACAGACGGAGCAAUGCCUGGUAUUAUUUUUCUGAUUUGUGUCUAGGGACAUCAGAAAUGGGAAAAAAUUGGCUGACUGCAGUGGCACAAAGUAAGGCCCUUGGUUGAGAUUUGCUGAGAAAAGGCUACCCUGUCUGCUGACAACAGUGAGAAUGUAGCAUGAACCUCCUUGGAGUGAGCGAGAUUUCUGUUCUAGGGGCACAGUGCCUUGCUGCCAGGGCAUGCUGGGGGCUCGCUUCCAGCCUGCUGCCCACAGGACCCCAGGGCCUCCCAGCAGAGCUUCUUGCGAGGCAGUUGGUCCCCAGCCUGCACCGUUGACAGGCUUCUUCCCUUCCAGGUACAGGAUUUUGCAUUUGUCCUUGUUGAAUUUCAUAACAGCCAUGGUUCCAGCCUCAAUAUUUCUGAGUGGCAGCUCUGUGCAUUUUUUCCAGUGGUAAUGGUUUAAAUUGUGGCUUAUUGCAAUGGGAACCCUUAAGCACAAAGACGAUGCCUUGUUUCAAGGGUGACUUUGCUUGAGUAAGGACUGUUGUUAUUUAUCAUGGCUUCUUAGGAGCUGAAAUUCAGAUUCUCAAAAAGAUACAGAUUCAAGACAAGGAUCAUAUUUAUGCAGAGGUGAUUUCACAUACAGAAGUGUGGGUUCUCAUAGUCCUUUAAAGCUUCAGGAUGCCACUGAGGAGAAUAAAAUAAGAAUAUACACAGCCACAAUAGUUUUAUGAGGUUUCCUUUCUUGGGCCUUUUUUGGGGUGGGUAAUCAAAUCUUUGGUGGGCAGUUGGCAUAUGGUUAAAAAAGCUGUGGUGGAAAAUGUAAAUGUAGGAAAUUGAAGCAAAAUUCAAUAAUCCAAUAAUUCUCAUGGAUAUCCACUGUGUACUUGUCAGGUCGUUUGUGUUACCAGAAGUCAAUUUUUACAGUCAGAUUCUACACAAUUUUUGUAUUACUUCCACUUGAUAGUGCAAUUCUUCCAGAUAGAUACCAGCACAAUUAAGGUUUGUCUUGCAUUAUGUUUAGUGAAUUCGGAAGCCAAGUUGACAUCAAAUAUCUUUGCCUCUAUUGUUUUCUUCUAAGCACCUAUGCAAUGCACUAUUGUAAAUUUUUAAAAAACUUUAAUUUUUUACUCAUGAAAUUUAUUAGGAAAGUGAUUUCUGAAUUACUCUUUUCUUUUUGUUGUAUAGCCUGUGAAAAUAAGCUCAUAAAACUCUAACACAUCUUUAAUUUCCAUGCCUUCCAAGAUAAUUCUGAUAAUUUUUCUUCGCAACACAGCAUGGAAGAGACUGCGGACAAGUGCUUUCAAGUUUACUUAUUAUCAGAGCUGUGAUGUGAGCUCACAGAUUCAGGUUCUGUGCCUGGGAAAACCUGUAGAAUGCUCAUCUCUGCCCCCUGCACCCACCCAGAUGUGGUAUCAGAUUCUGAUCACUUCAAUCAUUACAACUUUUUGUUAUUCUUUGAAUUAGCAUAGUGUCUAGAUAGAUUUCUUACAGACCAGAAUGUUACUGUGCUGUAUGUUUCUCAGCUUUUUCUGCUACGUAUUUGUGGAUCCCCGAAACGGCUUAAUUUACCAUGUGUUAUUUCCUUUAAACAUAAGUUCAAAAUGAAGGAAGAAGGAUUGUCCUGCACUCAUGAUCUACCAUAAGCGCUCUUGUCAUAAAACUUUUUCUUUUACAGUUGAGUGGGUUAGUGCCAGUAACUACUGAUGAGAGGAAUUCAUCCAGGCUAGAAUGAGAGCCAGCAGGGACUGUGAGGGUUUCCAUUUUAGUAUUUCAGCAGGACGAGGCUGAAAGGUAUUAAGUCUAAUGAUUUACAAAGCAAAAACAGGGUUACAGGGUUCCUAUCUGCUUGCAACUGAGUAUGAGUCAUGGAAGGAAGUAAUAGACGUUACAGAUUCUACAGGGUAAAGUCACACAAACUUGUCACUUGGGGUUUCUUUGUGCAUAACGCAAGUCCCUGUCAGGUUCCUGUUACUGACUUUAUUUCAUGUCUCAUGGCUUGUCUUUUUCGAGUACUGGCCAAGGCAAAAUCAUAGAAUGGUUUGGGUUGAAAGGGGCCUUAAAGAUCAUCUAGUUCUAACCCAGAUCUAACUGCUGCUUUCAGUUAUGCUGACAUGACCCAAAUGUACAUUCUUAUGUAAAACCUCUAGCAAUCUGCUAGGAAGACCAAAGACAUGGGCUUGCAGUUCUCAAAGCGCUGUGCUCGAGACUCAUGACCAAGCACUAGACCGCCAGCUCUGGGAAGCCACUGCAGCUCUGUGGAAGUCAGCAGCACCGACUGUCCACGUAGACUUCUUCACCAUGAACCUAGCAAAUUUCCUCCUGCUGCCACACAUGCAAAGGGUGGAACAGGAAUGAGAAAGCAAGUGCAAUAGGGAAAGAUACAAGUGGACAAUGUGGGAGAGAACUGAAAGCAUCUCCCUUCCCCUUGCACAACUUCAUCUCCAGCUUUCCAAGUUUCUGCUCUGCAUCACCUCUGUUACAAGCAGAACCUCAUUUCCCUUGUUGUCUGAGAACACACAAAGAAGUAUAGACUCAAAAAUCCUUUAGUAAUUUAACACUCAAAAUCACUUUCCCCCCCAUAAUGCUACAUGGUGUCAAUGCCUCUGCAAAAAUGCAACUGCGGAAAGAACAGACUACUGCAACAUGUAUUAUACAAUGCACAUACAUGAUCAAGACAGUUUACACAAUGCACUGUUUAGUGUUCACAGGAGUAGGCAGGAGAUCAACAAAUCCUAGAUAUUAAUUUUACUUCGGGCACUAAAUUGGUCUGCAGCUUUGAGUGAAUCAUUUACAAUUCAAGUUUCAGUUUUAUUAACUGAAAAAAUUGGGAGAUAUUAUUUGUAAGCCUUGUAGAACUUCCAGGAAAUUCCCCUGAAAUCCACCUGUUUAAUUACAUUUCAACAGAGGCUGAAAUGUCUCUGCAUACCAAAGCAGCACUAAAGAAACAGACUGUACCUGAUACAGAAGAUAGGGCAUAUUUCUUUUAACAGUUGGCUGUAUGAUGAUGGUGCUGGUGGCCUGGUUCUGUGAAGUACACUGGAAGAAAAGUGGGUAUUUUCUUAGGUAUCGAGCUACUGACUAAGAAAUUUGAAUAUGUCCGCAUUCUUGAACAGAGUAAUUUCAAAUACAUUAUUAUGUGUAUACUGUCAUGCUAAUCAGAACAGCAUGCCUGCAUGCAAAUUUUAACUUCAAAAUAGAUGUGAACCCCCUUUCUGCUACUUGCGUGUACAUUGGUAUCGCUUAACCUUCACAUUCUUACAGAGCUCACCAGGAACUUUACCACAGGCUAAAUCUAUCGUACUAUAUAUUUACUUACCAUUAGAAAAGUCUUUUACCACAAGAGUAAAUACUGAUCUGUUCACACAGGUUAACUGUGAUAUUGGUCUACAUAGAAUAAAAACACAGUUUCACUGCACUGUUGUUCCGUAUUUCAGCAUCAUACUCCCACUUCAUCUUUGUCUCCUCCUGUUCAUUCUGACCUCUGUGAACUCGUAAAGACCUUGAUGAUAAGACAGUCUUCCAACCAGAGCAGAGUAUGACUGGACAGAGUAACCCUUAGCAUCACCCUGGGAAAAAAACUCUCAUUCGCUGAAGCACAAUAUAGCCAAUGAGACCAAGAAUUACACCCUGUGUUUCCUUCACUGAAGGGAACUGCUUGCCAUAGUCGCCCUCAGCCAGGGUAGAAGAGAGCAGGAGCAUGCCUGUCAUCUCCAUGUCAUUGCUGGCAAUGAGACCCCCCCCCAUGCUGAAACAGCACAAGGGCCACCCACACUCUGACAGUAACGUUUUCUCAUAACCUACAUCCCUUCCUUCAUUGAAAAUUCACAUCAUGAAAAAUACAGGUCAAAUUUGUGCUGACCUAGAAUAGGGUUAAUUCAAUGAAAACUUCCAUUUAUAGUUCACAUCUUGUGCUGAGCUUGUAUUGCAUUGGUUUACACAUACCGGCAUUCAAUGAGUGUAUCUAAAUAGUAAGGACUAUUGGGUGAGAGCCAUGCAACUUGCAGGCAAACUUUCCCGUCGAGGUGUUUGAGAUCCGGGGGACCACUGCAGACCUUCUUUAAGAAUUUUGUUUGAUCCACUGUAUAGCAUUGUGCAACCUGAAGUUCUGUAACAGAGAACAAUAUUGAUCUCACUUAUCAUCUCUGCCCUUUUGUUACUGGCACCAGAUGAGAAGAAAACAAAAAUCAGCUCCAAGAUAAUUAGGUGGAGAAAUGUCCUAAAACUUAAAAAAAACAGGGGGGUCUUUGAUCUAGACAGUGCCUGAUUCAUAGUAAGUUAGUAAUCGUCUGAGUGCCUCACUGAGGGGGAAAAAGUAAGAAACUGAAUGGCUUUUAUACAGUUGUCAUAAUGCAAACCAAAGGUGUUAAUGCUGAAAGACUAGGAAAAUCAGAAAAAACUUUUCUCUUUUCCUUCAGCUGAUCUUCUCUUUGUAUGACACUAUCAUCUAAAAAUUGUGUGUGACAAUGCUGAAAAAAAGCUAAGACCUCCUAUACUAGAGACCACAAUAGCACUGCUUAUAAGCUGAAUUAGUCAUAACGUGCAUUACUAUGUGCUGUUGAAGUGUGUUUUCUGUAGAACAUGAGUAUCAGCCAGUACAAGCAAGUACUAUUGUCCAAGGAGGGAAAUCUGCGUCGCUCAUGGUAUUUUGUAAUCAAACCUUGUCUACUGCUUAAGUAGAGCAGAUGAUUUUUUUUUCCAUUUUCAAACAUUAUGUUAAAACUGAAAAAGAAAGCAAAUGAAAAAUACAGGUCAAAUUUGUGCUGACCUAGAAUAGGGUUAAUUCAAGUGGUAGAGUAACUCCAAAAGCAUUUUAGAGCCAUUCUUACGGGAACCACACUUGCAUGAGUUUAAAUUGUUACUGUCUCUAAAGAGGAAAGAAGAAAAGGUGAAAAAAAAGGGGGGGCGGGUUGAACAGACAAGUGUAAGAUUUACUAUUUCAGAGAGGAAUAGUCCAUAUAUUUUCACAGCGCAAAUCUCCUUGGAGAUAUUGAAUAAUAUGUUGCAUAAUAAUUGCCAAGUAUCUCAUUUUAUUAGAGUGGCCCAUUCUCAAAUGAAUGCAUAUUAUCUUUACAGGUUUGUGACCAGAAUGUGGAAGUAAAAGAAGAUCUUGCGGUUUACUUCAGUUAGAGGGGGAUUCACCUCUAUAUUUUUUACUAUUUUUCCAAACCAUGUUUGGUUUUAAUAUAAACGCAUCGGACACUUUUUUUAGUAUUUGGAAGAGUAUUAAAAGAACCAGUCAUAACAAUUUAAUGCCUGAAACUUUCAGGCAGCAUUCAGAAUGAUAUUGAAUCUCUUUGUCAUCUCCUGCCAAAACCAAACCAUAGCACAAUGCCAUAGUGUGGGAAAGGCAGUACAAAUCCAUUAUCUUCACUGCAGUUCCAGCAACUGUUAUUACAUAUGUUAUGUUUGAAAGCUCUGGUUGUGUAUUCAUCUCAUUUUCAAAUCCAAUUAAAAACUUCUUGAGAAUUCCACAGGCUUUGUCGCCAGUUCAGGUUUAAGUUAAAUCAUCAGCAGUGCCUGCACUUAACUAGCAUUUUACAUGAAACUACGCACCACAGGGUGCAAUGCGUUUAGAAACUGCUUCUUUAUGUUAACAGACAUUGCUAAAACUUGCUAAAUGCUUGCUGACACCUAUUUUCAAAGUGGAUUUUGAUGGGAGUUCUGCGUGGACAAGGAUUUCAAGCUUGAUGCCUGCAUUUCAUGUAUGCCUGCUAGUAUUAAUUUGUCACCCAACUCUGCGCAUUUUUAGUGGAGAGCCAUACAACUUCAAGACUUCGUUCCACAUACUUGCACUGUUCAGUACAUUUAUCCACUAAUAAGGAAGUAAUAAUGUUGCUUCUAAUUCCAUCACUAACUAAACAACCAUAUAAGAACUGCACUUUAUGAUAUCCCAGAACUACCUUUUCUUGGUAUAAUAUAUCAAUAUUUUUUGGUAUAAUAUAUCAAUAAAUGUAUUUGUUUUUUCUAAGCAAAAUUUGUUUGUUUUUUAUAGCUUUGUAUGUCGUGCUACAGCAAAACAGCAGCUUCCUCUUUUGAAAAGGACAGCAAUUAAUUUUCUUAUGUGUCAAUAUAGAAUGGUUAAUAAUAAAAUGGCCUAGCCCUUAACUUUAUUUAUUACAGCAAGGCAGCCGCUGCGGAAAAAUAUGCUCAGUGAUGAAUAUUUAGCAAGCCAGAAACCAUAUUUUGUUUUGCAUGUCCUCAGCACAUUACUAUUUACUUUCUGCAACCAUUAACAUAAGGUAAAUGCCAUUGAUAUAAAUAGGAUGUAGAAUUAACAGCUGUACAUGAGACUCACUGCAUGAUUAAAUAAAGCCUUGUUAAGCAGAAGGGGAAACAGUAGUUGCUUGUUAGAGUAAAUGAAAAGCAAAUGGCUGCCUUUUUGCAAUAGAACAGCAUGGUCUGACACUAACAAGCUCUGAAGGUGAGUUCAUGGUUUUUGUAUUAGGAUUCCUCUCAUCAGUGGGGAACAAAUAUUUAUUUCUGACAAAAAUUGUCUCUAUUCUCUUGUAUAAUGUACUUGCUGAUGAUCACUAAAGCCAGUGUAAAAUGGACUCAUGUCUUGUUGAAACCAGCUACAGAAGACAGCCAGUUACCAGUUUUCCAGCUAGCACUUUAUACAGAAAUCUGUUUUAGAACUACUGUAUGUGCUAAUGGGUGGGGAAGCAGAGAGAGUGCUAAAUUAGAGGACUAGUGGUAGUAUAAAGGUGAAAUACUGUUUUCUUAUGGGAUACUUGACAGUGCUGUACAAGACAGUGCUUUUCUGCCCACCCUUUGACUGAGGUCCUGAUAAGAGCCUGUUUCAAGCUCUCUCUGUGACCUUCCAGUUGAGUUGAGAUUCACAGCUACGAUUUUAGGAAUGGCAACAGGUAACAGAAAUAGGUUUUUUUACUGCAUUUACACAGCAUUAGGAACAACAGCAGUGGCAGUAACAGCAGGGUAGGUGUGUCAAGAAUGGGAAGACUCCCCAAGCCCCUCAAGUGCAACUUACCCGGACCUGUACAUUCAAGAAGCCUUGCUGUUUGCGUAAGAACAACACACGGAGUGCUGGAUCCAUGCCAGUUACACUAACCUCCUGUUUCUGAUACUGCUGCUUUCUUUACUUUUUCUGACAUUGCAAGGGCAUUUGGUCAGCUGCAGUACUGGGAGACGGGACUUGGGUGUCUGGGUGUGCAUUGCACAGGUCAGCACCACUAACAGUAACGCUACCACAAGACUUCCCUUGGGGUAAAGCCCAGGACCUAACUGCUGUUUCUGUUUUCUAUCUACUGCAUAUAUAUCUAUAUCAUAUCUAUACAUAUAUAUAUAUAUCAAUCAUAUAGAUAUAUGCAUGUAUAUCCUUCCAUACUUAAAUUUCACUGCUCUGAUGUCAUGUUUGCUGCAGAGCAAUGCUAUCAUUGUGCAACCCAUCUACUAGUUCACUUCGGAUGCUGUCAAAUUUAUUCAGACAUCAGCAAGAGUGUGACUGUGGUUGAAAAAAAACCAGCCACCACCCCUCUCUUUCUGUAAGAAGGAGUCACUGAGUCCUGACUACUCCCUGCAGAGACUACAGCUCCUCUUCUUGGAGACCACUUUGUAUCGAUAGCCUUUAAUGAUUUUCAGAUGUUUUAACAGAAUAUAAGCCCCUGAAGAAAAAUACUCUAUGGUCUUAACUUGAAAAAUUCACAAGCUAAUUUUUAUCUAUACGGAAUGACUUAUUUGUAGUGCAACUCAGAAAAAAAAAAAUCAUCCUUCAAAUGAAAGUAUAUCACUGCUUUUGCAAUGUAUUACUAACGAGUUUCCAUACUAUUUAACAAAUCAUCCUUCAAAUGAAAGUAUAUCACUGCUUUUGCAAUGUAUUACUAACGAGUUUCCAUACUAUUUAACACCUUCAGGACAAUUCCACUGAUGAGACUCCUAAUGCAGAAUCUGUUAGGGCUUGCCACAAAAGAGGUAAUUAUUAUGGAAGUCCUAGUUGUGAUUUUUUUAAAGUAUUGUGAUAUUUUUCAUUUAACCCAGAAGUAAUUUUGUACCGCUUCCAUCCUUUUACUCCGACAAGCUUCAGGAUAGUCAUUUCCGCAAAUGUUCUGUUUUCUCAUUUUCCCAAGACAGAUCUCUGAAAGUGUUUUGAAUUUGUACACAUGGAUAUAUAUACUGAGAUCACUUCUUCAGCAUUAAUGAUGAAGGACAACAAAUUGUGCCUGUUCUUUUAACCAAUUUUAUAAUGGAAGUGUUCCAUUAUAAAAUAAUAACAAUACAAAAUGCAGAUCAUCAUACAUAACUAUUGCUUCUCUACUUCUAACACUUUUGGGUUUGCUGAGUAAUUUCUCCAUUUCACUGACAAUUCUAUUUCAGUGGAACUACUUACCUAACUUCAAAAACAAAAUUAGCAGCAGAAAACCUGAGACUUAUGUAAACAGAAUUCAGGUUUAUAUUUGCCACACCAUUUUUGUGUCUGACAGCACAAGCAUUUCAGUAUGUGCAAAGUUACAGGCUUUUAUAGUGCCUGUACAGUCUGAUGAGAAAAGCAGGAAUUCGCCACAGAAGUACUACUUUUUCUAUGUAUUUUGUAUACAGCUUCCAUUUGGACCCAGAUUAUCCAUCAAUCCACUAUCCACUACAAAACCAGUAUUUGUGCUUUUGUAGCAAAGUUGCAGCUAUUGCAGAAUGUAAGUUUUAUGCAGCAUGUUUAUGCAAAAACAGGCCAGGGAACCAGUUUUGGCUAAUCUGUAUCCCACGUGAUAUGGUAGCAAUAGAUCUGUCAAAAAUUACUCAGAACCUAAAUAUGUAGAAGCUCCCACACACCUUUAUUUAGCUAGCUCUAAUCUUUGAUCUUGAACGCAUGCUUAACCAGUAAAAAGGGGAAGAAAAGGCAUUGCAUGUGUUGAAGUGAAAUGUGAGGGGCAGAGAUACUGGUUCACCUUUGAACCCGAGUAUCUUACAUACUUGAACCAAAUGAAUGUUGUCUCAGCUAGCUGGAGAGCACAGACAUCACCAUUCCAAACAAUCAGGACUCCCUGGAAAAUCUAUUUAAAUAGGCCAUCUAAAUAUUAUAGAGUUGCAUUUGCUUUAAUGUCUACCCUGUAGCUGCUCUCUCAUCUUAGAAAUAGAUGAUUUUUUUAUGCCGCACUUCCUCUUACUCCUAUCCUACAAGUAUUACAUGAGACCUGCAUGUUAGGAGCUCAGCAGUGCAGGCUGAUCUAUAACCAUAGAUCAAGUCAUGCCACAGGUUAUUUAAGGUAUGACUAGCUAUCUGAAAUUUGUGUACAUUCCCUUUUUGCUUAGACGACAUCCAGUGUUAAUUGAAACAAUGAAUGCCCUGCCAUUACUCAUGCUUUUAACACUGAGAGAUAAUUGAUAUAGCUGGUAAGAAAACCUGAAUAAUUGUUCGUGCACAAAGUAACGUGAUUACUUACUGUUCAAAGAAGAGUUAUUCAAGAAAACAAGCAACUUAGAUUCCAGGAAAUCCAGCGAUGAAUUAUUGAGAUGUCCCAUUAAAAUACACUCAUGUCAAACAGAAAGAUUUAAGACAUAAAAAGUCUGUUGAAGAAAUGUGGAUUUUCUCCACAAUUGAUAUUAGUCUUUACUCGACAUUUUUAAAUAUAUGAGAGAAUAUGCUGCUGAACUCCACAUAAGAUAUCUGAAACCAUUCACAUUGCUUUUUUAACUAGGUAAAAUGCAACCUGAUCUGGAUUGUACUUGAUCAUAUGGCUGGAAUGCUGAAAAUACUGUAAUCUAUUUAUAUAUCAAAUUGAAGAAUUUUUGUGUGUUUAAAUUUCAUUGCAAUCUAGUGUAUUAACUAAAUAUCAAGUUUACAAUCUGUUUCAUUUUCAAACCGAAAAAGAAAAGCCAGACCAACCUGACUUAUUUAUCCUAAAGCCAGGAUUUAUUUCCUGGCUUUAAAAUACAGACCAAACCUAGGUCUGCUCUGUGCCUUCCCUAAAAGUGGUGUUCCUGCAGCAAUAAUUCACUGCUAGUGCCGACACAUGGUACUUUCCUUAUAAUGCCUUCAAAAUACAUACUUUUUUUUCAGCAUCAAGAAUGUACUACAAUUCCAAACUGGAUCUGCAGCUCAGAUUUUCCUUAUCCUUUUCUUAUUUCUGCCACUAAACCACAAAUUAUUCGAAAUAAAGCAGACAACAAGGCUAAGAGUAACUAUGUAAAUGAGAACAGCCAAAUCAAACAGAUGAAAACCACACAGGGGCUUAUACAGCCCAGAAGUAAUUGACAAUAACUAGUCUAUUAACCUCAGACUCCCCUAGUGAACCAGCACUCUUCAGGCAACUGUUCCAUAUAAUGCUGUAAUUUCCCUAAAUUAUUUACAUAAUUCUUUAGAGGGUCUUUGACAAGUCAUGCUAAAGAGAGGAAAGGUCCUGCCCCAGACUGCUUCUAGUCAAACAGCACAAUCAGGUGCAGCACAAGAUAGUAUAGAAGUAAAGGUACCCAUCAAGGAGAAGAGUGUAUUACACUAAAGACCUGUCUGUUGAUCAGUACAAAUGUGCAUCUUGGAUUUUAACAUAGCUCAGUUAAGUAAAACACAGCUCCCACUGACAUUUAAUGGGUUUUGCCAUUGCCUUGAAAGGGGUCAGGAUCGGGCUAGCAAAAACUGGUGAGAUCUCGUAACAUGUAUUAAUUUCUAUUUGCACUUUAAAUGUGUUUCCAUAUGUGUUACAGUUUCCAUUUGUUCUCAGUUGUUGGACAUACUAAAUUUUUUUCACUGGUUGUUGCA